rnacentral:rRNA from 1 species
GUAUAAGAGACAGCAGCAGCCACGGUAAUACGGAGGAUCCAAGCGUUAUCCGGAAUCAUUGGGUUUAAAGGGUCCGUAGGCGGUCUUGUAAGUCAGUGGUGAAAGCCCAUCGCUCAACGGUGGAACGGCCAUUGAUACUGCAGGACUUGAAUUAUUGGGAAGUAACUAGAAUAUGUAGUGUAGCGGUGAAAUGCUUAGAGAUUACAUGGAAUACCAAUUGCGAAGGCAGGUUACUACCAAUUGAUUGACGCUGAUGGACGAAAGCGUGGGUAGCGAACAGGAUUAGAUACCCGCGUAGUCCCUGUCUCUUAUAC